UAAUUAUUUGGAAAUCUCGACUUCCAGAUGCUUUUGCAAUGGCUUCACUGCUGAAUGAGUCUGACUCCAGAGCCCACCAGUGAAAGGCCAGCUUCUUACCUGUGUCUCCGCAACGCCUUGUUCAACAGACCGAGAGGAGAAGGAGACGCGAUCCGUGCUAAAGUGGACUCGGGAAAUGCCAUGAGUUGUUAGCAUUUCCAUGAAAAUCGAUGGGGAAAGGAGCCCAGGAAAGAGAGACAGAAUUGGUGCCUUUCUGAAUCAUCCGGAAGGGAUGUUGAAAUCCUGAUAUGAAGACAGUUUCACAAUA